rnacentral:lncRNA from 1 species
UUUUUAAAUCGGUUUAUUGAGUCGGUUUUAUUUUAUUAUAUAAGAGUUGUCCUGUCAAAAUUAAAGGGAUAUGAAAAUCAAACUUAAAUCUUGUUCUUCUUUGGAAGCAGAGAAACUCCGACGAACCCACAUUUCAGUUGAGAGAACCCAACUCUGAUCCAACUCGCCUCCUCCCCAACCUUCACCCGUCUAUCAUCUCCGCUAUUAUCAUGUACUCAAACUGUUGUUCACGUCCUGUUGUUCUGCAGGCCCGCUUCCAGCCAACUACAACUCCGAUCAGCAUCACGUCCGACGACCAACCCGUCUUUGUUCUUCGUCAUGUCUGGCAAACGAAUAGCCCUUGCGUUCUAUCGUUCCAGGGACAGUUGAUCUGUUCCAGGAUAAUAAUGGGUUUGGUUGCCGUUUAUUUAUAAUAUUAUAUUAAAUAAUGAAAAGAUUAGUUGGAAGAGGAAAGAAAGCAUUGGCAAAAGAAAGUCAGCUAUAAAAAGAACAAGUACACGGAGGAGUUCUACGACCGGAAGAGCCUUAAAACAAAAACUUAGACUCGCUAUUACAGGUUGUAGAAAAUAUACAAAAGCAGGUGAAUCAGCUAGUAAAAAAAAUAGUCUCACCCUCGACCAGUAAGAAAUCCAUUCCACUCUCAGAACAAGAAAAGCACCUAGAUAACCCGACCCAGAAAACUAUAGAAAAUCCUAAGUUCAAAGAUCC